GACGAACGCUGGCGGCGUGCUUAACACAUGCAAGUCGAACGAUGAACCCGGAGCUUGCUCCGGCGGAUUAGUGGCGAACGGGUGAGUAACACGUGAGUAACCUGCCCUUGACUCUGGAAUAACUGCGGGAAACUGUUGCCAAUACCGGAUACGACCCUCGGCGGCAUCGCCAGGGGGUGGAAAGAAUUUCGGUCAAGGAUGGACUCGCGGCCUAUCAGCUAGUUGGUGAGGUAACGGCUCACCAAGGCGACGACGGGUAGCCGGCCUGAGAGGGUGACCGGCCACACUGGGACUGAGACACGGCCCAGACUCCUACGGGAGGCAGCAGUGGGGAAUAUUGCACAAUGGGCGCAAGCCUGAUGCAGCAACGCCGCGUGAGGGAUGACGGCCUUCGGGUUGUAAACCUCUUUUAGUAGGGAAGAAGCGAAAGUGACGGUACCUGCAGAAAAAGCACCGGCUAACUACGUGCCAGCCGCCGCCGUAA
rnacentral:rRNA from 1 species